rnacentral:lncRNA from 1 species
AUGAGUUUCACCACUCACUCCACCUUCUCCAACUACUGGUCCCUGGGCUCCAUCCAGGCGCCCAGCUGCGGCACCCAGCCAGUCAGCAGCACGGCCAGCGUCUAUACAGGCACCGGAGGCUCUGGUUCCCAGAUCUCCGUGUCCCGCUCCACCGGUUUCCAGGGCAGCUUGGGGUACAGGAGCCUGGCCAUGGGAUGGCCAGGGUUCUAGCAGGAAUGGGAGGCAUCCAGAACGAGGAGGAGACCAUGCAAAGCCUGAACCUACCCUGGUUCAAUGCCUGACCUCCUACCUGGACAGAGUGAGGAGCCUGGAGACCGAGAACCAGAGGCUAGAGAGCAAAAUCCAGGAGCACCUGGAUAAGAAGGGACCCCAGGUCAGAGAUUGGGGCCAUUACUUCAAGACCAUCGAGGACCUGAGGGCUCAGAUCUUCUCAAGUACUGUGGACAAUGCCCACAUUGUUCUGCAGAUCGACAAUGCCCAUCUUGCUGCUGAUAGAGUCAAGUAUGAGACAGAGCUGGCCAUGUAUCAGUCUGUGGAGAGCAACAUCCAUGGGCUCUGCAAGGUCAAUGACACCAGUGUCACUCGGCUUCAGCUACAGAGAUUGAGGCUCUCAAGGAGGAGCUGCUCUUCAUGAAGAACCGUGAAGAGGAAGUAAAGGCCUACAAGCCCAGACUGCCAGCUCUGGGUUGACGAUGAAGGUAGAUACCCCCAAAUCUCAGGACCUCGCCAAGAUCACAGGAGACAUCCUAAUACGAAGAGCUGGCUCAGAAGAACUGAGAGGAGCUAGACAAGUACUGGUCUCAGCAGAUUGAGGAGAACACCACAGUGGUCACUAUGCAGUCUGCCAAGGUUGGGGUUGCUAAGGUGACGCUCACGGAGCUGAGAGGUACGGUCCAGUCCUUGGAGACUGACCUGGACUCGAUGAGAAAUCUGAAGGCCAGCUUGGAGAACAGCCUGAGGGAGGUGGAGGCCUGCUAUACCCUGCAGAUGGAGCAGCUCAACAGGAUCCUGCUGUACCUGGAGUUGGAGCUGGCACAGGCCGGGGCAGAGAGGCAGCACCAGGCCCAGGAGUACAAGGCCCUGCUGAACAUCAAGGUCAAGCUGUAGGCUGAGAUCACCACCUACCGCCGCCUGCUGGAAGACAGCCAGGACUUCAAUCUUGGUGACGCCCUGGACAGCAGCAACUCCAUGCAAACCAUCCAAAAGACCCCACCCGCCA